rnacentral:ncRNA from 1 species
AUUUGAAAUGUCAGGAAAUUUGUGAUACACUUCGACUAAUAAAAUAGUACAAGUAAUGAGGAAAGGGGUGGAAGACCCCUACAGCCCCCGCUACUGUAAUUGCCAACAAGAUUCUCAAAACCACUGUCCUAAGGACGGGAAGGGAGGAUGGCGGAUGAAGCAAAAGUCAGGACACUCAACUUUUAUUAGAUUUCUUC